rnacentral:lncRNA from 1 species
GUGAGUUUCGUGUAUGUGUCUUCUUUGAACAGCAAGUGGCUAAUUGAUUGAUUAGUAAUGCAGUGACUGUGAAAUAUAGAGCAUCAAUAAAAGAUCUCAUGAAAUGAGGUGAAUCUAUUUUGCACUCAUAUUGUACGAUAAUAAGAACUUUAUUUCAAAAAUAAAAAGUAAAAGUAAUACUAAAUUACUUUGAUUGACAAAAUCUUUUAACAGGGGGUAGAAUGGG